rnacentral:rRNA from 1 species
GAUGAACGCCGGCGGCGUGCCUAAUACAUGCAAGUCGAGCGAACAGACGAGGAGCUUGCUCCUCUGACGUUAGCGGCGGACGGGUGAGUAACACGUGGAUAACCUACCUAUAAGACUGGGAUAACUUCGGGAAACCGGAGCUAAUACCGGAUAAUAUAUUGAACCGCAUGGUUCAAUAGUGAAAGACGGUUUUGCUGUCACUUAUAGAUGGAUCCGCGCCGCAUUAGCUAGUUGGUAAGGUAACGGCUUACCAAGGCAACGAUGCGUAGCCGACCUGAGAGGGUGAUCGGCCACACUGGAACUGAGACACGGUCCAGACUCCUACGGGAGGCAGCAGUAGGGAAUCUUCCGCAAUGGGCGAAAGCCUGACGGAGCAACGCCGCGUGAGUGAUGAAGGUCUUCGGAUCGUAAAACUCUGUUAUUAGGGAAGAACAAAUGUGUAAGUAACUAUGCACGUCUUGACGGUACCUAAUCAGAAAGCCACGGCUAACUACGUG